rnacentral:lncRNA from 1 species
UACGCUCUGAGCUUCGCUGGUGUCGCUCCUAGCGGUUACUAAUUCAACUUUUACCGGUAAUUUUUAAAUUUAUUAUUUAAUUGUUAUCGCUUAAUAUUUACAACGCAAAAAAGUAAUUAAAUUGUAAUCGAUUUUUUUAAGAUUUUUCUAAUCAUUUUGACGUUCUAUUGAUAAAAUAUCAAUUUCUUACUUCGGAUACUUUGACAAUAAUCGUGUAGAUGGCGCUAAGAUUAUAAUAGAUUAUUUAUAAUUAGAUAUUACGGAACAUUAAAAAAACUUAAAUUCAGUAUUUAAAACGUAAGUAUAUUUAAGGUAAAAAUAUAUACCACAGCUUUGGCCAACUAAUAUUGUUUAUAAUUAAUGUUUUUAAUUUUAAUUUUAAAUUAAUCACUUUGACAUUUAUGUCAAAUUUCCAGUAAACGUUUACAAACUUGUCACUACUGGCGUUCGCGAAUUUGUAAAUAUCCCCUCUACGUACGAGCUCACAGCGUAUAAAAUAACUACUAAGUAUUGGGAUAAACCGUAAUCGUACCCCUUCCUAACUGCCAAAGUGUCAUGGCCGCCGUCGGGACCUAUUGUGCUGACAUUUACAAUGUUUACAUAUAGAAAAGUUUGUUUUUUUCUGCUUAUAAUGCCGUUUUCUAAAGAUAUUAGUGAACAAAAUCGAUUUGCUAACAAUAUUUAAUAUAUUUUAAAUGUGCUAAAAUUGGAUUCAACAGCAAAAGUCGCAUAAAUAACAUAUAAAUGACGAAUUUGUUUACCUAUUACAAAUGGGGUUAUGUGGUUGUAACUGUUUAUUUUGGGAAUAAAAUGAAAAUGAUCAAUUAAACGACUGGAAAACUAUAGUGAAGUGAAGAACAUCUUGAAGUUCCAAUGAUGUUUCAAGAUGAGAUAAAUCGAAAUAAUGGUUGUAUGUUAGAAGGACAGAGAAUACGAAGAAAUGUUAUUGCUGCAUACUUAGUGUAGUGAAAUACAAACUUCAAACAUUAUAAUAUAUUUUUUUAUUUCAAACAUUUCAUAUGAUUAUGAAAGAACAUCUUCCUCUUUAAAACAAUGAAGAAGUGAAGAACAUAAUAAAGUUCCAACGAAAAUGAUUCCAGAUGAGGAAAAUCGAAAUAAUGGUUGUAUGUUACGUGUAUAGAGAAUACGAAGAAAUGUUAUUGCUGCAAACUUAGUGUAGUGAAUUAAAAACUUAUUGUCAAAUACAAAUCAAUUUAUUUCAUACUUUUAUAAUAUAUAGUGGUACAAUUUUAUAUGUGUUCAAAUAAAAAUAUUAAUAAAUAAAAUACAAUAAACACAAA